rnacentral:lncRNA from 10 species
AAGCGAUUCUCCUGCCUCAGCCUCCCAAGUAGCUGGGAUUACAAGUGCGCACCAUCACGCCUGGCUAAUUUAUUGUAUUUUUAGUAGAGAUGGGGUCUCAUCAUGUUGGCCAGGCUGGUCUCGGACACCUGACCUCAAGUGAUCCACCUGCUUUGGCCUCCCAGAGUGUUGGGAUUACAGGCGUGAGCCAUGGAGCCCGGCCCAAACUUCCAUUUUUAAGCAGUUCACGAAUCCCGCCUACUUCCUGCAGAUCACCCGGUCCUUCGUUCUCAUAACCCCAAGAAGCAGGGAGGGGCACAUGCACCUGAGGGCCUUGCUUCUGCUGGCUCUGGGUCUUACGAAGGAAGAGUGGAUCUUCCUAAGCAUUCAGGUAGCAACAUUACCCCAGCUGGAGGAGAACAAUCCCAUUUGAAGGAAGGGAGGUGAUGGAGUCCUGGGCGUGGGAAUGACAGGGACAAUGGAAAGCCCUGAAAGCUCCUGUGAGGCAGCAGAGCCAGGAAUGCUAAGCGAGGCUCGUUUCCUGAGCAGGAAGGAACUGAAUCAUGAUUCCGAGGUGAUGUGGUUUCCAUCAAGCCCUGUAGCCUGCCUAGGUGUAUGGUUUUAUCUGAUGGGAGUGUGACUCAGCCGAGCUCUGAGGGUGUGUGCCCCAGGCCCACUGCCAGCUUCCUGGGAAGGGGUGCCAGCCCAACUCUGUACAGAGAGGAGAAAACACAGCUGCCGUUUCUAGAGCUACGAGAAGGGAGGCGAGGUCAAAGGACUCUGCUCAACUCCAGCUGCUUGGUUUUGCUUCAGCUGUCUCAGUCUUUCUAGUAAACUUGACCUGUUGC